UCCACUACUCAGUUGGUAGAGUACAAUGCUCUUAACCUUGUGGACGUGGGUUCAAGCCCCAUGGUGGAG
rnacentral:tRNA from 1 species